rnacentral:lncRNA from 10 species
AGCAACUCUCUCUGGUCCCUUUCCACACUGUGGAAGCUUUGUUCUUUUGCUCUUUACACUAAAUCUUGUUGCUGCUCAGUGUUUGGGUCCGCACGGCGUUUGUGAGCUGUAACACUCACCACGAAGGUCUGCAUCUUUGCUCCUGAAGCCAGCGCGAAGGUGUGCAGCUUCAGUCCUGAAGCCAGCGAGAUCGCGAACCCGCCAGGAGGGACGAACAACUCCCGCCAGGAGGAACAAACUUCUCCAGACGUGGCGCCGCCUUUAAGAACUGUAACACUCACCGCGAAAGUCUGUAGCUUCGCUCCUGAAGCCAGCGAGACCGCGAACCCACCAGAACAAAGAAACUCCGGACACAUCAUCUUUAAGAACUCACUGGGAGAGUCUGCGGCUUCAUUCCUGAAGUCAGCGAGACCAAGAACCCACCAAUUCUGGACACAAUUGGAUACUAUAAUCGAUAAAGCUUGGCCUUCAGAAAUUCCCAGUCUUGCAAAGGCAAGAGGGAAACACAGCAAGGAGCAAGGUUGUCUGCUGAAUAUUUGCCAAGAGGAAGUUUGGGGAAAUGCCACAUGCAUAGUAAUUCCA